GUGGCGGACGGGUGAGGAAUACAUCGGAAUCUGCCUAUUUGUGGGGGAUAACGUAGGGAAACUUACGCUAAUACCGCAUACGACCUACGGGUGAAAGCCGGGGACCUUCGGGCCUGGCGCAGAUAGAUGAGCCGAUGUCGGAUUAGCUAGUUGGCGGGGUAAAGGCCCACCAAGGCGACGAUCCGUAGCUGGUCUGAGAGGAUGAUCAGCCACACUGGAACUGAGACACGGUCCAGACUCCUACGGGAGGCAGCAGUGGGGAAUAUUGGACAAUGGGCGCAAGCCUGAUCCAGCCAUGCCGCGUGGGUGAAGAAGGCCUUCGGGUUGUAAAGCCCUUUUGUUGGGAAAGAAAAGCAGUCGGUUAAUACCCGAUUGUUCUGACGGUACCCAAAGAAUAAGCACCGGCUAACUUCGUGCCAGCAGCCGCGGUAAUAC
rnacentral:rRNA from 1 species